rnacentral:lncRNA from 1 species
UCGAUGUCGUUUCAACCUUACCAAACUCUGCGGAAACUUAGGAAAUUAUCUUUAGUGUCUAGAUAGGGGAAUUGUUAGAUGGACUUGAAGUCUCUCACCUCCUGUUGUACGCCUCCCGGAAGCAACACCAGGAGUCCAACGGGAUCCCAAACCAGAGCCCAACCAGUAUCCUAUAAAGUCUUCAGAGAGGGAUCCCCUCCAGGCUGGGGAGAAACAGGACAACCUAACAAAACAGGGCCUGGACUCCUCCCUAAACAGACCACGUUUUUCUCCGCUCUUCCCCUUCCCACUCCCUGAAAUCUAGACUAAAACUCUUUUAAGAUAACUGCGAGGUAUAAAGAACGUCUAGAGCCUAAGCGGCCCGUUGCCAGAUUCUACUCCUCAGGCCUCAAAUGUGAGCGCCCCAAACAUUCUAGAGCUGAACCUGGUACGCUCGCCCACCAAACUGCCGUGCUCGGGGCUUAGUAUCUCACGCGCGGCAGUUCAAGAACAUCAGACACGCUCAACAAACACUUGUUGCUUGACUGAUACAUUAUGGCGGGUAACGCGUCCCACGUAUUUCUUCUUAGAGAUAUACAUUACGCUAUACGUUUCUGAAGAAUGGCUCGAUUUACAGGGGUUCCCACAACGAUUUGUCACAUAUAAAAGAGUGGGUGGUAUUUUUACGUCAAAGAUGAACAGGCGAACGUCCAUCUAAAUCGUGUGGUAUCAGAUGCGGGGAGGCGUGGGGGAGGGAGCGGGGGAGAAAGCGUUAAUUCUUCCAGCUUUAGAGCCAGACGUAAUAUUUAAAACGUGGAUUGUUUUUCAAAUUAACUUUUAAAUGGACACGACAGCACCUUAUCCUGCAUUAAUAUUGCAUUGCAACUAGAAAGAAAACCAGUGGAGGCGGGCAAGGCCCCCGAUCACGUGAUACCGCCCCCCAACUCCGGGCGGAAGAGGCCAGCGACAGCGCUGCACGAAGCGAGUGGGCGGGCGCUCGUGCCCGGCUAAAAGAUGGCUGCUGGCGCCUGGCAGCCACCGCCUGGGAGGUUACUGUAAGGCCCGCAGCUCCCGCCAGCUCCCGCGGACUGCUGCCGCCUCCUUACCAUGAAGCCAGUAAGUCGUCGCACGCUGGACUGGAUUUAUUCAGUGUUGCUGCUUGCCAUCGUUUUAAUCUCCUGGGGCUGCAUCAUCUAUGCUUCGAUGGUGUCUGCAAGACGACAGCUAAGGAAGAAAUACCCAGACAAAAUCUUUGGGACGAAUGAAAAUUUGUAACUCUUCUGGAUUUAAUUAUCUGAAAAUACAGUUCUUUCCCUCAUGCUUAUGUAGAUAUAAAAAUAAAA